AUUGAACGCUGGCGGCAGGCCUAACACAUGCAAGUCGAGCGAGCGGCGGACGGGUGAGUAAUGUCUGGGGAACUGCCCGAUAGAGGGGGAUAACUACUGGAAACGGUGGCUAAUACCGCAUACUAUCGGAUGAACCCAUAUGGGAUUCGCUUGUAGGUGAGGUAACGGCGCACCUAGGCGACGAUCCCUAGCUGGUCUGAGAGGAAGAGCAGCCACACUGGAAUGGAGACACGGCCCAGACUCCUACGGGAGGCAGCAGUGGGGAAUAUUGCAAAAUGGGCGAAAGCCUGAUGCAGCCAUGCCGCGUGGAUGAAGAAGGCCUUAGGGUUGUAAAGUACUUUCAUCGGGGAGGCGUUACCCGCAGAAGAAGCACCGGCUAACUCCGUGCCAGCAGCCGCGGUAAUAC
rnacentral:rRNA from 1 species